rnacentral:tRNA from 1 species
GGUUUUGUAGUGUAAUAAACAUGUUAGAUUGCAAAUCUAUAGAUGCGGUUGAUAAUCGUCCGCCAAAACUU